CCCUUAGAUGUUCUGGGCCGCACGCGCGCUACAAUGAUGAAUUCAACGAGUUUAUAACCUUGGUUGAAAAGCCUGGGUAAUCUUUUGAACUUUCGUCGUGAUGGGGCUAGACCCUUGCAAUUAUUGGUCUCCAACGAGGAAUUCCUAGUAACCGCAAGUCAUCAGCUUGCAUUGAUUACGUCCCUGCCCUUUGUACACACCGCCCGUCGCACCUACCGAUUGAAUGGUCCGGUGAAAUCUUCGGAUUGAGACUUUGUUUUCUUCACGGAAAACGCUGUUUUAAAAAGUUGAUUAAACCUUACCAUUUAGAGGAAGGUGAAGUCGUAACA
rnacentral:rRNA from 1 species